rnacentral:tRNA from 1 species
GCACCGCUAGCUCAAUUGGCAGAGCAGCUGACUCUUAAUCAGCGGGUUGUUGGUUCGAUUCCAACGCGGUGCACUA